GCCCCGAGCCCCGCCCCGCCCCGCCCGGCGUCGGCGCGCGCCAACGGGUUCCUCCUCCCGGCGGAGAUCGGCGUGGAGGCUCCCCGGGCGGCUCCGGGCUGCCGGGUCGGUAAUCCCUUUAGGCACCGGACAGUCCGCCUAGGCAUUUGCCAUAAGGAUAAAUAUGGAGGAGCAUUUUAGGCAGAAAACAGAAGCAAAGUUGAAGAGUGACUGAUUCAGAACGUGUGCCGUCCCCAGGACUUUUUCUGGAACCAUGAGAGGAAAGGAGAGAAGUUCUUAUUCUGGAUUGCAGAGAAGAGGGUGAGCUCAGAGCUACUGACUAUGUGUGCUACUGGAAUUUGAACCCAGAGCCUUGAAGUACUAAACGCACUCUGUCGACUCCUAGGCAACUAACUUUCUUCGCUCUGUUUAUUGACACUGGAGAAGAACCAGCUUAAGAUGAAGCCAGCAAUGAGCAGAGAGCAGGAGUAGAAACAGAUACCAGCGAAUUAAUUUAUGUCUCUAAGUGUAGAAGCUCCCUAGCUUCCACCCCCAGGUUAUCCCGACAUUUUGUUGUUGCUGUAACAUUUAAUUUAAUUGUAACAUUUUAACAGAAAGACUGACACAAAAGUAUUAUGGUUUGCCAUAACAUAGUGUGUUAUACUUGGGACUAGUGUGACUGUGGAGGUAGGUAGGGGCUAGAAUGUGAAGGCUUAAGGAAUAGACCUUUAUUGUAUAGCUAUGAAAGGGUUAAAGCAACAGUAUCCCCAACAAACCCAUCGGAACCAGAAACACACUGCUAGGAACAUUUAGUUCCUCACACUUUGAUGAGGCGUUCACUUUUGCUCUUCUGGUUCCCUCUGAUAGUUACAGAACUUUUACAAUUGGGAAAGGAGAGCUAGGGACAUGACUGUGACCAGAGCAGUGUCCUCCAACCAGGGUGCUGUGCAUUAUCCCAACAAUCACUGAAACAAGUUUGACAAAUGAGUUAUUUAUGGGGGCCAAGCGUGGAGGGGGAGAAUCCCAAAAACUCUUUCUAGAGAAUAGAGUUUAGGGUUGUUUAUGGAAUAACCCAGCAGAAAGACUUAAAGCGAAUGCUCAGAGAUGGCUAGCAUGGUAUGGAUGUGGAAUUUGGGCCUCUCUGACAUUAAAAGGGCACAGAACAGAAACUGCAGGAUCAAACAAGAGUCAGAUCACUUCAACAAAAGCAGCCUUUAAGCUCCUGGAAGGUAAUCUGGCAGCCAUUGGCAUCUCUACCCACGUGCCAGAGGUGCUGUCUGUCUGUCUGCAGCAAAGCCUGUGGGAGCCUCAUAAUACAUACCUCAGCUGUGACCUCGAGAGCUCGUCAUUUCAAAAUCCAAUUAGAAACAGCUAAGGGGGGUUUGAAAGGUUGCUUAGGGUAAGUAAGAGUAGGUCAUCUGUGUGUAUUUAUCAAAGUUAGGAAACUGGUUUCUCUGUGUAGCCCUGGCUAUCCUGGAACUCACUCUGUAGAGCAGGCUGGCCUCGAACUCUGAAAUCCACCUACCUCUGCCUCUCAAGUGCUGGGAUUAAGGAUGUGUUCCACCACCACCACAGGGUUUAAGACAGGGCCUUGAUGGUAACAUUCUUGGGGAUGUUUCUGGUUUCUUGGAGAGAUGUUUCUAAGGUGCAAAAGGUACACAUUAACAACUGUAACUAUUUUUGAUUGUUUGUUUGUUUUGGUCAGGGUUAUGCUGGCCUCAAAUUUAUAUCUCCUGCUUCAAGCUCUUAAAUGCUGGGAUUACAGUCAUAUGCCACUGCAUCAGCUAUAAAGACCUUUUGAUAAGUACCCAGCAGAUGGUUGUGUCUCAAGGAGCAAAAAUUAGGUAUUAGUAGCAUCUCUGUUAAUUUUCUAUUGCUGCAAUAAGACACCAUGGCCAAGGUAGUUAAUUAUAGUGUUUAUUUGGGGCUUACAGUU